AAAUUGAUGACGAUGUUGGUGAGAUGAAGAAGAGUUGCUCCUCCUACCACGACGUAAACUUUGGUCACGGAAGGUGUUGCGAUCUUCUUCAGUGGUGCCGCCGUCCUCUUCACUCGGGUUUUGCUCAUAACGAGCCAACCUUUCGGUAAGAUUUUGGACUUGCCGCUGCAACUCAUCAUUCUCUAUGUCGCGAAGAUCUCGCUCUCUACGAGGUUCUUCAUCGCUAGAACGACUUUGGUUGCCUCGGCUUGCCAUGGUUGGUUGAAGCUUGCGUCAACACCACCACGAGAAAUGUGAUAGGAUUCCUCUCGAAACGUCAAGAGAUGAUAACCUCGCUCUGAUACCACUUGAUACCGCUUGGAUCAAUUUGCAAUCCAAUGGAAGUGGGAGAAAAGACAAGAUAAGUUUCUUAUGCAAGGAGGAAGAUAACUUUCAUUCAAAUACUUGGAUGCCUUCUCAUUACAAUUCAUGACUAUUUAUAGGCAAAUCAUGGGUAACAUGAAAAUACAAAAGAAAAUAAAAGGUCAAAAGUCACCUUAAUAUGGGUAACUCACACAAUAAAAGACAUCAAAACCAACUAAAUUCUCUUAGGGAAUUUAAAAGGUCAAAAGACACCUGCCUCUUGAAAUACCUAUAACUUUCCAACCAUAACUCGGAUUUUAAUGUUCUUAGGCUUGUUGGAAAGAAGAGAAAGAGACCUGA
rnacentral:lncRNA from 1 species